AGUGGGCACUCCCUUAUCAGUGUUAUCCCAUUUGCUCCGUCCUCGCCUCACUUCCCGCCCCAGGCUCAUGGAAUCCUCUGCUCUCCCCCGCCGCGGCUGAUGCUCCUCCGCUCGCCUCCUGCCCUCUGACCCCGCCCCGCCAAUGGCCUCUGUCCCCUCCCUCGCCGUCUCUGGCGGGGCCACCGGCGGCUCCUUCCCGGCGGUCGCCGGCGCCGACGCUCGGAGGCCGCCGGCCAGCUCCGUCGCCGUCGUCGACAAGAGCAACUCGAACGGCAGGAGCAUCCAAGCAGGGCAGAAUGGCGGCGGCGUGGAAGCGCCGCUGCGGCCCCUCGAUGUCGAGGAAGCGAUGGGCAUGCUCAGGGAGGGGAAGACGGUGAGGUCGGCGAUGUACGUGCCUCUGCUGCACCGGUGCGUUGAGGCCGGCAGCCUCGGCGACGCCAGGGCCGUGCACGGGCACAUGGUGAAGACCGGGACCAGCGUGGACAUGUUCGUCGCGACGUCUCUGGUCAAUGCCUACAUGCGGUGCGGGGCGAACCUGGACGCACGCAGCCUGUUCGACGGAAUGCCUGAGAAGAACGUCGUGACGUGGACGGCGCUCAUCACGGGGUACACUCUCAACUCGCAGCCGGUGGCGGCGCUGGAGGUGUUUGUGGAGAUGCUGGAGGCGGGGAGGUACCCUUCACAUUUCACGCUUGGCGCGACAUUGAACGCGUGCUCUGCUUCGGACAACGUUGGCAUGGGCAAGCAAGUUCAUGGAUAUACAAUUAAGUACGGGGCCGAGUUGAUCACAAGUGUAGGUAACUCCCUCUGUCGAUUGUAUGCCAAGUCUGGGAGCUUGGAAUCAGCCAUGAGGACCUUCCAGAGGGUCCCUGACAAGAACGUCAUCACGUGGACAACGAUGAUAUCUGCCUGCGCUGAAGAUGAGAACUAUGUAGAGCUUGGACUGACAUUGUUCCUUGAUAUGCUUAUGGAUGGAGUGAUGCCUAAUGAGUUUACCCUGACAAGUGUCAUGAGCUUGUGUGGUACAAGGCUAGAUCUGAACCUGGGCAAGCAAGUCCAAGCCUUCUGCUUCAAAAUCGGUUGUGAGACGAACCUUCCAGUAAAGAAUUCGACGAUGUACCUCUAUUUGAGAAAGGGUGAAACUGAGGAGGCCAUGCGGUUGUUUGAAGACAUGGAGGAUGUCAGUAUUAUCACGUGGAACGCAAUGAUCUCAGGCUACGCGCAGAUCAUGGAGACAGCUAAGGAUGAUCUCCAUGCUCGUUCUAGAGGGUUCCAGGCACUCAAGAUUUUUCGCAACCUCAAACGGUCUUCAAUGAAGCCCGAUUUGUUCACCUUCUCAAGCAUCCUGUCUGUUUGCAGUGCCAUGAUGGCCUUAGAGCAGGGUGAGCAAAUCCAUGCUCAGACAAUAAAGACUGGUUUCUUGUCAGAUGUCGUGGUUAACAGCGCAUUGGUGAACAUGUAUAACAAGUGUGGAUGCAUCGAAGAUGCAACUAAAGCGUUUGUUGAGAUGUCAAUACGGACUCUUGUCACAUGGACUUCUAUGAUAUCAGGGUACUCUCAGCAUGGCCGGCCCCAGGAAGCGAUACAACUCUUCGAGGACAUGAGAUUGGCUGGGGUGAAACCAAAUGAAAUCACAUUUGUAAGUGUGCUUUCAGCCUGCAGCUAUGCUGGUUUAGUUGAGGAGGCUGAGCGCUACUUCAACAUGAUGAAGGAAGAGUACAAAAUAGAGCCUGUUGUGGACCAUUAUGGGUGCAUGAUUGACAUGUUUGUGCGCUUGGGCCGGUUGGAUGAUGCAUUUUUCUUCAUCAAAAGGACAGGUUUUGAACCAAAUGAGGCCAUCUGGUCCAGUUUGGUUGCUGGAUGUCGGAGUCAUGGAAAUAUGGAGCUUGCCUUCUAUGCUGCUAAUAGACUGCUCGAGCUCAAGCCAAAAGGUGUCGAAACCUAUGUGUUACUGCUGAACAUGUACAUUUCCAGCGGGAGGUGGCAUGAUGUGGCCAGAGUACGGAAGCUGAUGAGACAGGAGGAUCUAGGAAUCCUUAGGGAUCGCAGCUGGAUUACGAUCAAAGACAAGGUCUAUUUCUUCAGAGCUAAUGAUAAGACUCACGAACGGAGUGAUGACCUGUAUCAACUGCUAGAGAAUCUGCUGGAGAAAGCUAAAGCCUUUGGCUAUGAACCUUACCAGAAUGCAGAGGUGUCUGACGGUGAGGAUGAUGAGAAUCCUGCUGCAGGUUCCCUAAAGCACCACAGUGAGAGAUUAGCUGUUGCGCUGGGGUUGCUGCAAACACCUCCAGGUGCAACAAUUCGCGUCACAAAGAACAUUACCAUGUGCAGGGAUUGCCACAGUUCAAUUAAGUUCUUUUCAUUACUUGCAAACAGAGAGAUUGUUGUCCGGGACAGUAAACGCCUUCACAAGUUCAAGGAUGGCCAAUGCUCUUGUGGGGAUUUUAGUGCACUAUUGUGAGCACAGGAACCUGGAAAUUUCAGCAAUAUCCUACUCCCUAGCCUCACAAGUUUUGUCCUGGGAGUAGGUCACAGCUAUCAUGGGAUUUUGGUUGAUGCAAGAAGUUCAAAUUGGGGGCAAAAUGUAUUUCCAUGGGAAUUCUAUACAUAAUACAACCGAGCAUCUAUUUUUGAGCAUCUGAUAUUGUGAUAUCAGUUGAGGUCACUAGUGCAGUGAUGGAUGGUGCCAACCAAAUUCCCAAAGCUGCAACAGACAGUAGCUGUGCCUGAACAGCUGAAAUGUGGAACCAGAGAGGGGAGCUACUACCUCUAGAUUAAUAUGAAGCUUCAGAAGGUUGGUUUUCACAUGCAAACGUCUCUCUUUUUCAAAGGAACAUCUUGAAUCGAAUUGAUGGAUAAGAAAAUGGUAAGUGGAUUGAAGAUGAGCAAAAUUCCUAAGGCCUUGUUUGGUUGCCGGGGAUUAAAUUGCCAAGUGGAACUUAUCCGUGGAGGGAUUAAGUGAAUCCCUCUCAUCUCACUCAAACCCUGUGGGGGAUUGCUCCCCCUAAUUCCCCUCUUCAACAAGCUCUUCCAAAUGAUCAACUGUUUUCAUUAUGUUUAAUUGAAUGAACUAUUUAUGAUCUUUGUGUUUUUGUAGACCUCUUAUGUUCUUUUUUUGUAGUGGGAUAUCAUAUUGUCUUUGUCAAAUUACUCCUUGCAUGAACUUAAGAAAUAAUGUCUCUUUGAGGGGAAUCAAGGGCCUUGCCUUUACCUGUCUCUGUCUGGGCUCCAUGUCUAAGUGGGAGUCAGUCACAUUUGAGGAAUCUCUUAGCUUUGCCAAGAAAGUAAAGAUGAUGGUACUGGGACAUGUGUGCUUCUGACAGUUAUCCGUUAAACUUGAAUGUUAAGGAGAUCGUUUUGAAAGAUUCUGGCAAUGGAUCCUUUGCAGUUAUCUCAGAAAUAGACCCAAAAGAAGCUGUAAAGCAGUUGCUUGUGCAGGAUACAUACUCACGGUAUAUCCUGUUUCUUUGAAUUGUUUAUCUUAAAUAGACCAAAAGGAGCUGUAAAGCAGUUGCUUAUGCUCAAACAUGUGGGUUUCAUUUUCAGUGUUUUAGUACUUCGUCAGUUUUUGUAGUCUCCAUUUGGUAACUGUUUUUUUUUUUUGGAAAUGAAAAAUUCAAGAAUGUUGUUCCACUGUUAUAUCCUUAGGAUCUUGCAGGAAGAAUAUGCCAUUGACACAAAGAUCCGAAUUGCCAUUCUACUGAUCAUUUAUAGAGACACAUUGCUGAAUAAGCACUUAAUCAGUUUCUUUGGAAUCUUCUUUUCACAUCUGACAUAUGUACUACCUAGCCUGAACUGCUUCAUGGACGAAAAGGAUGUAGAAGCAGCUGAGAUGACGAGUAUGGUACAGAAGUUUAUUCCUUUGACUAGGGAUGUUUACCGUUACUUUCUGAAGAGAUCCGUCCAUGCGGGGAAGCCAGUGUCCGACUUGCUUGAUCGUAUGAGCAAAGACGGUCUUGAGGCUGAUGAAGAAACAAGCAGAAUCCUUCAUGUAGAAUGCAGUAGAUGCACCAUUGUCCAUCAUUAAAUUAUGUCAUUUUCCUGUUCGUUUCCACCCCCCCAUUUCUUUCCCCUCAACUCCUGCUUACAUGAAUGACUGCAAUUUUUGGUUGACGGCAUCAUAGAGCAGUGGCCAGUGGGGCUGAGUGUUCUGUACAAUUUUGAUAGUAUCAGAUGCGAUGGAACCACUCGUUAGUUUAAUGAGUUUUA